rnacentral:rRNA from 1 species
CGAUAAUCGAUAGGGGCCGUGAGAGCGGUUGCCCCGAGAUGGGUACUGAGACAGCGACCCAGGCCUUACGAGGCGCAGCAGGCGCGAGACCUCCGCAAUACACGCAAGUGUGACGGGGUUACCCAAAGUGUCCUUAUUGGACUGUGGCGGGUGAGUAAUGUUCCCCGCUAGAAAGGAGAGGGCAAGGCUGGUGCCAGCCGCCGCGGUAAAACCAGCUCUUCAAGUGGUCGGGAUAAUUAUUGGGCUUAAAGUGUCCGUAGCCGGUUUAGUAAGUUCCUGGUAAAACCGGGCAGCUUAACUGUCCGUAUGCUAGGAAUACUGCUAUGCUAGAGGGCGGGAGAGGUCUGAGGUACUACAGGGGUAGGGGUGAAAUCUUAUAAUCCUUGUAGGACCACCAGUGGCGAAAGCGUCAGACUGGAACGCGCCUGACGGUGAGGGACGAAAGCCAGGGGAGCGAACCGGAUUAGAUACCCGGGUAGUCCUGGCCGUAAACGAUGCAUACUAGGCAAUGGUGCGGCCAUGAGCCGCAACAGUACCGUAGGGAAACCGUUAAGUGUGCCGCCUGGGAAGUACGGUCGCAAGGCUAAAACUUAAAGGAAUUGGCGGGGGAGCACCACAAGGGGUGAAGCCUGCGGUUCAAUUGGACUCAACGCCGGGAAACUUACCAGGGGAGACAGCAGAAUGACAGUCAGGUUGACGACCUUACUCGACGAGCUGAGAGGAGGUGCAUGGCCGUCGCCAGUUCGUGCUGUGAGGUAUCCUGUUAAGUCAGGCAACGAACGAGAUCCGCGCCUUUAUUUGCCAUCAAGAAGUCACGACUUAGUUGCGAACACUAAAGGGACCGCCGUCGAUAAGACGGAGGAAGGAGCGGGCAAAGGCAGGUCAGUAUGCCCCGAAACCCCUGGGCUACACGCGGGCUGCAAUGGUGCGAACAAUGGGCUGUAACUCCGAAAGGAGUAACCAAUCCCGAAAUCGCAUCUCAGUGGGGAUUGUCGACUGUAAC